rnacentral:lncRNA from 1 species
GUGCCUAACAAGCCCUGGGGUUCGGUAGCAGCUGCUUAGAGCUCCUCCCCGGGAGGCUCCGGAGGGGAAUUUUCCACUGCCCCGUUCAAUUUACCAGGACAAUUUAGCUCAGCUAUACCGCGGCCUUGACUAUUUACAGUGGGGAGCGCAGGGCGGUGGAGGAGCCCUCUAAGAGUCCGUGCAAGAGGGCCGCGGCCCAGCUAGAAGGGUCUGCAGGGGGCAAGGAUGUCUGAGAUGCCCAGCGUGGGUGAGUGCACCCUCCCUCCCUGGCUCUGCUCCUCCCCCUCCCCGGAACCACCACCCCCUCAGCCCUGAGCUGCCGAUGCCCUCGGGGUUCUGUUUUCAUUCCAGGCUGUGGAUCCGGUCGUGGGAAGCAGGUUUCUGUACCUUGACCCUCCAUAGAGUGAACUUCUAGGUUCUGAGCUGACUCCUUGGAAACCCUAGACUCCAGGGACGCGCUUCUAGAACCUGCUCAGAUUGCUACUCAGUUAACAGCCUGGCCCAGGAGGAUUGCAACACCCAGCCUGGCUCCCAGGCAAGCUAAAGAGGGCUUGAUGAUGGGAAGAGGUUAAGGGGUACGUGGAGAGAAAGAAGGAUCAGAAGGCGGAAACAUCAUAGACCUCCUGGGAUGCCUUCUGCAGGAUCACAGAGAAGGCAAAAUUUGUCCUCCUGACUACAAGAUGCCAAGAUACAUUUGUAUCGAGCCACUGAAUUCUCUACCCCUUCUGUAGAGGUGGUUGGGGAAGAGCUGCAGUAGGAAGCUGGGUCCCAAGUAAUGAAGGACCUUUAGAAGCAGAAGGUGUUAGGGUGGGGGCAAAGGACUGAACUCUGACCAACCAGAAGAAAGGAAAAACUGGAGUUCCUUUCCCCUAGGUCUGCCUUUCUUUCUCAGGGUCUCUAUUUACUUCUCAUGCACUUGACUCUCUGCUUCCCUCUCCCUCAUUUCCACAAAGGGGCCCAAGCUUCACAUGCAUCUCGCACCCCCGCACCUUGUGGGCAGGAAAUCUGAGCACAGGCAUUUCCUGUACGCUGAUAAAUGCCCACUGCAAAGAGCCCCAGCCUGAAGGUGGCCCUGUCUCCUAGUUAUGUCCCUCCACAUCCUUAUCUCCCCAGGCUCCAGCCCUCACCAGCAGGGACUCAACAAACGCCAUCUGUCAGAUGAGUCAUGGGACCAGAAGCUUGGGAGAAGACAUGCAGAGCCAACCACUAACAAAACUGGCAAAUGAAAUAAAUGCCCAGAAACCUGCUCCAUCCCCAGCAUUCCUUAAGUCCUAUAAAUUGCACCACCUUUUACCAGUUUUCAGAAACUAAAAGUCAUCCUUGACAUCCGUCCAAUCAAUCACCUCCUAUUUAUCUCCCAAAUUCAUUCUUUUUUCUUUUUGAAACAGAGUUUUUACUCUUGUUGCCCAGGCUGAAGUGCAAUGGCACGAUCUCAGCUCCCUGCAACCUCCGCCUCCCAGGUUCAAGCCAUUCUCCUGCCUCAGCUUUCCUGAGUAGCUGGGAUUACAGGCAUGCGCCACUACGCCUGGCUAAUGUUGUAUUUUUAGUAGAGAUGGGGUUUCUCCAUGUUGGUCAGGCUGGUCUUGAAUUCCCAACCUGAGGUGAUCCACCCACCUUGGCCUCCCAAAGUGCUGGGACUACAGGUGUGAGCCAUUACACCCGGCAAAUUCAUUUUUAUAAUCUUGCCACCCCCACAACCACUGCCCUCAUGGACCCUGGGCACGCCUCACCCGAAUUACAGAAAUUCCCUCCCAGCUGGUAAAACUGUUUGUGUGUGGCUCUCCUUCAUUCCAUCCUCCCUGGUUUAGCCAGAGAAAUAAUUCUAAAAUGUACACAUCCCAAAGCAUCUCAUUUUCCUGCAUGCAGUCUUUCAUCAUCCAUUCACUAACUGGAGGACAACAUCUGAAUUUAUUAGUGAGCAUACAAAGGCUUUUCAUCCGCUGAACCCAGCGCAUCUGCUACCAUUUCCCUGGUCUCCGGUCAGAACUAGUGACUGUCCCAUAAACAGGUUCUGCUGGACUUCCAGUCAAGAUGGAGCGGUGAGUUCUCUGUUCCAACCACAAACCAGCAGUAAAUAAAACAUUUUCGCAUAUAACCCAACACACACAGUUGGGCUGAAAAACAAGGCAAGCUUUCUGUGAACCAGAAGCAAGAACAGAGCCCAAAAUCACUAAAUGGGGCUGUGACUGACAUGCUGCUGGGCUCUGAGUCCCAAAGGGUUUUAGAGAAGCCAGGAGCCCAGUUACCUUAGAAAGGGCAGUGACUAAGAUGAACACCAGGGGUCUUCUGGAGGCCAAGAAUGUUCUUUUUGUGCUCUGGGGGUUUAUUACACAGGAGCAUUCACUUUGUGAAAACUCAUUGAGGUGCCCCUUUACGAUUCAUGUGCGUUUCUGUAUAUCUGUUAUAUUUCAAUAGAAAUGUUUACUUGAAAAACUUUGUCCUGGGAGAAAGCCCAGAGGAAGACCCUACUUUUAGAUGCUGGAGACCAGGGUAGGGUGAGGUAAAGUGGGGUGGAAAUAGAGCACAGCCUCAAAGUGAGGACCCAUGCCAAGCCACCCACAGCUCCUCAUCUGGAUUGGCAUCAUUCUGGCACAGAAUAAGGAACCAUGAAAUAACACGUAAGAGCUGGCGCUGGAACAGCGGCUUAGGAAAAUGGGUGGAGGCAACCACAAAACUAUAAACUGUGCAUUCAGGAAGAGAAGAAAAAAAGACAAAAACAAAACAAAUCAAAGGGGGAAAACUGCCACUAGAAAUGGAUCUGCAAAUCAAAAUUCCAAAACACAUUUUAACAAUGAAAAAGUCUAAUGCUAAGAAAGACAGUAAAAUCAAUAAACAACAUUAAUUCAUUCCAGUUGACAUCAGUUUUAUAGAGCAGAAGUCAUAAAAAUCUACCAAUUUUAUAGACUAGUACUAAAAUCUAUCAGUUUCAUAGAGGAUAGGUUUUGAAGUAUAUAUACAUUUACAUUUCUCAAAGAAAUCAUAAAAACAUAUUAAAAAUAAGCAAUAAAUAUUAGAUGAAAAUAGGAAUGGAACAAGAAGAAGUGGGAAUAAAAAAGAUUAGGAAGGCCAG